rnacentral:rRNA from 1 species
GAUGAACGCUGGCGGCGUGCCUAAUACAUGCAAGUCGAGCGAACAGACGAGGAGCUUGCUCCUCUGACGUUAGCGGCGGACGGGUGAGUAACACGUGGAUAACCUACCUAUAAGACUGGGAUAACUUCGGGAAACCGGAGCUAAUACCGGAUAAUAUAUUGAACCGCAUGGUUCAAUAGUGAAAGACGGUUUUGCUGUCACUUAUAGAUGGAUCCGCGCCGCCUUAGCUAGUUGGUAAGGUAACGGCUUACCAAGGCAACGAUGCGUAGCCGACCGGAGAGGGUGAUCGGCCACACUGGAACUGAGACACGGUCCAGACUCCAACGGGAGGCAGCAGUAGGGAAUCUUCCGCAAUGGGCGAAAGCCUGACGGAGCAACGCCGCGUGAGUGAUGAAGGUCUUCGGAUCGUAAAACUCUGUUAUUAGGGAAGAACAAAUGUGUAAGUAACUAUGCACGUCUUGACGGUACCUAAUCAGAAAGCCACGGCUAACUACGUG